AUUGAACGCUGGCGGCAGGCCUAACACAUGCAAGUCGAGCGGAUGAAGGGAGCUUGCUCCUGGAUUCAGCGGCGGACGGGUGAGUAAUGCCCAGGGAUCUGCCUGGUAGUGGGGGAUAACGUCCGGAAACGGGCGCUAAUACCGCAUACGUCCUGAGGGAGAAAGUGGGGGAUCUUCGGACCUCACGCUAUCAGAUGAGCCUAGGUCGGAUUAGCUAGUUGGUGGGGUAAAGGCCUACCAAGGCGACGAUCCGUAACUGGUCUGAGAGGAUGAUCAGUCACACUGGAACUGAGACACGGUCCAGACUCCUACGGGAGGCAGCAGUGGGGAAUAUUGGACAAUGGGCGAAAGCCUGAUCCAGCCAUGCCGCGUGUGUGAAGAAGGUCUUCGGAUUGUAAAGCACUUUAAGUUGGGAGGAAGGGCAGUAAGUUAAUACCUUGCUGUUUUGACGUUACCAACAGAAUAAGCACCGGCUAACUUCGUG
rnacentral:rRNA from 1 species